UACGUAGGGUCCGAGCGUUGUCCGGAAUUAUUGGGCGUAAAGGGCUCGUAGGCGGUUUGUCGCGUCGGGAGUGAAAACACCGGGCUUAACUCGGUGCUUGCUUUCGAUACGGGCAGACUGGAGGUAUGCAGGGGAGAACGGAAUUCCUGGUGUAGCGGUGAAAUGCGUAGAUAUCUGGAGGAACACCGGUGGCGAAGGCGGCAUCCUGGACCGGCAUUGACGCUGAGGCGCGAAAGCCAGGGGAGCAAACGGG
rnacentral:rRNA from 1 species